AAUAAUUUUAAAGCCAUUUUUCUCAGUUGUUAGAGUGUCUGCCCACAGACUGAAGCAUCACCGGUUCCAUUCCCAG